GACGAACGCUGGCGGCGUGCUUAACACAUGCAAGUCGAACGGAAAGGCCCUGCUUUUGUGGGGUGCUCGAGUGGCGAACGGGGGAGUAACACGUGAGUAACCUGCCCUUGACUUUGGGAUAACUUCAGGAAACUGGGGCUAAUACCGGAGAGGAGCUCCUGCUGCAUGUUGGGGGUUGGAAAGUUUCGGCGGUUGGGGAUGGACUCGCGGCUUAUCAGCUUGUUGGUGGGGUAGUGGCUUACCAAGGCUUUGACGGGUAGCCUGCCUGAGAGGGUGACCGGCCACAUUGGGACUGCGAUACGGACCAGACUCCUACGGGAGGCAGAAGUGGGGAAUAUUGCACAAUGGGCGGAAGCCUGAUGCAGCAACGCCGCGUGCGGGAUGACGGCCUUCGGGUUGUAAACCGCUUUCGCCUGUGACGAAGCGUGAGUGACGGUAAUGGGUAAAGAAGCACCGGCUAACUACGUG
rnacentral:rRNA from 1 species